GUUCGUAAACCAGGUCAGAGUCAGAUGGGUACAGGACGACAGGCAGGCUCGAGGUCAGGGCAGGCAGAAUGGAAUGGCAGGCAGGCUCAGGGCAGCCAGAAAAGGUCGGAACCGAGAGGACUAGAAAACAGGGACGAGGCAAUCAGGAGUACAGAAAACUACGCUGGUAGGCUUGACAAGACAAGACAAACUGGCAACAGAAACAGAAACCACCGGUAUAAAUACACAGGGGAUAAUGGGAACAAAUGGGAAACACCUGGUGGGGGAUGGAGACAAGCACAAGACACGUGAAACAGAUCAGGGUGUGAAACAAUCCUGGCCAAUAGACUACUGACAAGCAUCUCUGUUACAAUGGAAGCAGCAGGAAAACAGAAUAUAUCCCAGACGGUCGACAAGCAGGGAUACCUUCUACGUCAACACCAUGACCAGCUGACACCACUGGGGACGGUUAUGGAAGAGGUUCUUCGCAGUGUGCAACGUCUCAAACAUACCCGGGAGGAGUUGUCGUCAACUAACGGAGGAUACUCUACAACCAGUCGAGCUAGCACAACAGCCCAUUCAGCAACCAGCUCAGGCCGGUGGUUCCUGGUCCCCUAGCUGAUGCUGUCCCCCACAACACCCCUCCGCCCCCCCGGACAUCGAUGGGGUCCAGCCUAUGCCGUCAGAUCUCUACUGGACUCCCGACAUCGUGGGGGUUGGCUCCAGUACCUAGUGGACUGGGAGGGGUAUGAACCCAGAGGAGCGGCAUUGGGUUCCAGUGGAGGACAUUCUGGAUCCCAACAUCAUCCUUGAUUUCCACCUUCGCCUCCCGGACCGGGAUUCAUCAUUACGCACACCUGGCAUCAGUCAUUACAUGCACCUGCACGUCAUCAUGAGACACACCUGGACUCCAUAACCUCCCCUAUAUCUGGCACUCCCUUAGGUUCUUUCCCCAGUCAGUAUUGUUCCUGUGUUUGUGUAGAUGCUACUGUUGUCUCGUUCCAUGUUUUAUUAAACAUUUCACCUGCUUCUCAACUCUCAGCAUCUCCGUUACAACCAGAUUAAAAAAUGCACCAUGGGGGGGAAAAAGAGCCAACUCCUACAAGGCGACUGAAUCAACAUUUUCAUAAUGGCUCCACAACACACAUUCUGCCCCCCAAUGCUUAACUAAGCAAACAGAGGGAGACUUAAGCAAUUUCCUUCCUGCUGGUGUCAGACAACGUGUACAUUUAAGUCAAUGGCAUAAAACCAGUUCUGCCUCAGAGGAUGGUAGAAGGGGCGCUGUGACAGGCGGAGUUGAUAUAGGCCUCUAUUUGUUUAAACAUCACUCAGCUCAGCCCCUAUGCCAAUAUUGGCUCAGCCCAUAUGGUGACCCUCAGAUUUGAGUAAAUGGGUUGUCCUUGACAAUUAGUGAAAUGAGCAUUUGCAACAAGUGACCUAACCCUUGACUUACAUGAUAGGCCUAAUGAUAAUGUCACAGCUAAAUCUCUGGUGGUCCCAUUGUAAACUAGGCCAACAUAACUAACUUGAUGCCCUUUUCUCAGGAUUAGUCCAACCAUAGUAUGACACUGCAGUUGUUCAAAACCUAGGUCUAGGGUACAUCAUCUCUCACUAUUUGACCAAGCUACCUACAUAUAACCUCAUCCUCAGGCUCAAUUGCUACCAUGAGAUUAACCUACAGUACAUGUACAAAGGCUGUGCUUACUUCCUGAGUAAUAGUGCAAGAUGAUAAUUCAGUUCAGUCAAAACCAUUGGACUUCCUCUCUGCUGAUGGUCUCCUAAUGGUAAUUUAAAAGAAAAAGGAGUUGAAGUUCACUAUAAUAGAUGCCUUCCGGCCCAUGCCCUUUUAUCUUCAGCUGCCAUGAUGCUGUUGACGACGAUAGUCAUUCUAAAUAGUCUGUGUGUCCGUCCUAAAAUGUAGGAUAAGCCUUUGCCAAAAUUGCUGAAAAGCCUAUUCAUUGGAAUAUUUUUUUUUAUCAGCAUAGGCCUGGAAAUAUUUGAGUUUUUAGGGGAAUGGUGUUAAAGUUUCAUGACAUUUUUCCUUCUACUGUAGCCUAUAUCAUUUUAUAUCAAUGAAUCUGUAAAUAUGACAGAGUUGAUGAUAAACAAGUGAACUUGAAGUUUAAUGCAUUUGUCUUGAAAGGAUCGGGAUGGGGUAGGGGUGGUACAGCAGCGAUGCACACUUGUCAAAGUGUUUAUGACAAUAACAGGCCUACAAUGCACUGCGUCAUUUGUGUACAUGUGAUGUACUGUAUGAAGUGCGAGCACAUUACACAAAUUCAGUUGUUGAUUUGAUCCGUGAAGGUUGUGGUACCACUACAUUCCUAUAACAUUAGUUGGACAAAAAGAAUGCAACUCUUGAGUACCUAAUUUGAUGGGCUAAGACAAAAACCCAUUUCAGUUGGUAGAACAGGCAUAAUUUUGUUACUUAAUUUCAGCUGUGAAUGCUAAGAUUUGUAUUUUAGUAAAAGGUGGAAAGUGGUGUUACCUGCUGUGGGCAUCGGCUAAGUAGGCCUAGCUACGUGUUUGAAUCCUAUUUAAUCUCACUCACCAAUUAGUAAAACAGCAAGGGGGUCCUUCUUGUAUUUGUCAAAGUCAAUGACAUCCCUAUUCACCCAAUGAUUUGAAUUUCCUCUUAAUAUAUAUUAUCCAACUCCCACAAAAUGCUGAAUAUGUAUGUGUGUAAUAUAUCACAAAAUAAUAGCUGAAUAAUGACAAAUGCUCAAUCUGGUACAAGCCUAGUUACUGAUCAGAGGCUCUGCUGAAGAAAGUGAACAUCUGGCAAAUAGCUUUCUUAGCUGAGUUAUACAAAUUUCAGACAGAAAAUGUGAUAUAUUACCUGUAAAAAAUGUAUGGCAAUAUUGAUGACCCUCUUUCAAACAGCCCCUUAUUUACCGAGUGAUGCAGUGGUCUAAGGCACUGCAUCUCAGUGUUAGAGGCGUCACUACAGACACUAGUUCGAUUCC